rnacentral:rRNA from 1 species
GAUGAACGCUGACAGAAUGCUUAACACAUGCAAGUCGAUUCGAUUUACCUUCGGGUAUUGAGGAUGGCGGACGGGUGAGUAACGCGUAAGGAACUUGCCUCUUGGUCUGGGACAACUGUUGGAAACGACAGCUAAUACCGGAUAUUAUGAGAUUCUCGCAUGGGAAACUUAUGAAAGCUAUAUGCGCCAAGGGAGAGCCUUGCGUUCCAUUAGCUAGUUGGUGGGGUAACGGCCCACCAAGGCGACGAUGGAUAGCCGGCCUGAGAGGGUGAACGGCCACAAGGGGACUGAGACACGGCCCUUACUCCUACGGGAGGCAGCAGUGGGGAAUAUUGGACAAUGGGCCACAAGCCUGAUCCAGCAAUUCUGUGUGCACGAUGAAGGUCUUCGGAUUGUAAAGUGCUUUCAGUUGGGAAGAAGAAAGUGACGGUACCAACAGAAGAAGCGACGGCUAAAUACGUGCCAGCAGCCGCGGUAAUACGUAUGUCGCAAGCGUUAUCCGGAUUUAUUGGGCGUAAAGCGCGUCUAGGCGGAAAAAUAAGUCUGAUGUUAAAAUGCGGGGCUCAACUCCGUAUUGCGUUGGAAACUGUUUUUCUAGAGUACUGNAGAGGUGGGCGGAACUACNAGUGUAGAGGUGAAAUUCGUAGAUAUUUGUAGGAAUGCCGAUGGAGAAGUCAGCUCACUGGACAGAUACUGACGCUAAAGCGCGAAAGCGUGGGGAGCAAACAGGAUUAGAUACCCUGGUAGUCCACGCCNU